ACUCAUUUGUUUUGUCUUUCAUGGUGUUUUCGGCACACUCGGUGCAAGAAAGAUUAGCUGUGGGAGAGACAGGACGACAGCAGGCUAGCAUUGCUUUUUAAGGAAACUGAUAAAGAUCCCUUCUGUCAUAGAAAAAGGAGAUUUCCUUGCACACAAAAAUGUACCUUGGCUGACCUCGUGAUGGCCCCAAUCUCAGAAUAAAGGUCCGUGCUGUCUGGGAAUUUUUCCACCACUAUCGUACAGACGUGAUGAAGGAGAGACUGCUUAUGCACUGUGUCCUUGACUUCUGGAACUUUCUCGAGGUAGCUCAGUUCAAAGGCUUUGGCCUAUGUGAAGGAAAGAAAAGAAAUAAAAACAACAUGUUGCAUUCACUUCUA